UGCCCUUGAGCUUUGGUGUCCUCUGAGUUGUUCAGCUCUGGAUUUCGGAGGUAAAUGGUACAGAAGUGCUGGGAGCGAACUGGAGCUGGUGGAACAAGCCCAUGUUGGGAUUAACCCACUGCCAAAAGACCACUGUGUUUCCUGCUGUGCCUCCAGGAGCCCCGUUGGGUGGUUCUCCGGAAGGCUGAAGAGGAGAGGUUGAUGCAUUUCUACAGGCCAGACCUCUGACAUCCCUGCUCCCGUUCAACUUUACCUGC
rnacentral:lncRNA from 1 species